rnacentral:rRNA from 1 species
GACGAACGCUGGCGGCGUGCCUAAUACAUGCAAGUAGAACGCUGAAGGAGGAGCCUGCUCUUCUGGAUGAGUUGCGAACGGGUGAGUAACGCGUAGGUAACCUGCCUGGUAGCGGGGGAUAACUAUUGGAAACGAUAGCUAAUACCGCAUAAGAGUAGAUGUUGCAUGACAUUUACUUAAAAGGUGCAAUUGCAUCACUACCAGAUGGACCUGCGUUGUAUUAGCUAGUUGGUGGGGUAACGGCUCACCAAGGCGACGAUACAUAGCCGACCUGAGAGGGUGAUCGGCCACACUGGGACUGAGACACGGCCCAGACUCCUACGGGAGGCAGCAGUACGGGAAUCUUCGGCAAUGGACGGAAGUCUGACCGAGCAACGCCGCGUGAGUGAAGAAGGUUUUCGGAUCGUAAAGCUCUGUUGUAAGAGAAGAACGAGUGUGAGAGUGGAAAGUUCACACUGUGA